GCCAAGGUGGCGGAGCGGUUACGCAAUUGCCUGCAGAAAAUUCCACUCCGGUUCGAAUCCGGACCUUGGCU
rnacentral:tRNA from 1 species